rnacentral:rRNA from 1 species
UACAGAGGUCUCAAGCGUUGUUCGGAUUCAUUGGGCGUAAAGGGUGCGUAGGUGGCGGGACAAGCGUGCGGUGAAAGCCUGGGGCUCAACCCCGGGUCGGCCGUGCGAACUGUUUUGCUUGAGCACUGUAGAGGCAGGCGGAAUUCCGGGUGUAGCGGUGGAAUGCGUAGAGAUCCGGAAGAACACCGGUGGCGAAGGCGGCCUGCUGGGCAGUAGCUGACACUGAGGCGCGACAGCGUGGGGAGCAAACAGG